UACGUAGGGCGCGAGCGUUGUCCGGAAUCAUUGGGCGUAAAGAGCGUGUAGGCGGCCCGAUUAGUCCGCUGUGAAAGUUCAGGGCUCAACCCUGGAAUGCCGGUGGAUACUGUCGGGCUAGAGUCCGGAAGGGGCGAGUGGAAUCCUGGUGUAGCGGUGGAAUGCGCAGAUAUCAGGAGGAACACCAAUGGCGAAGGCAGAUCUCUGGGCCGUAACUGACGCUGAGGAGCGAAAGCAUGGGGAGCGAACAGG
rnacentral:rRNA from 1 species